rnacentral:rRNA from 1 species
GACGAGCGCUGGCGGCGUGCCUAAUACAUGCAAGUAGGACGCAGUUGCGAACGGGUGAGUAACGCGUAGGUAACUGCCUAUUAGAGGGGGAUAACUAUUGGAAACGAUAGCUAAUACCGCAUACUAGUAGAUGGACCUGCGUUGUCUUAGCUAGUAGGUAGGGUAAUGGCCUAACUAGGCGACGAUACAUAGCCGACCGGAGAGGGUGAUCGGCCAAACUGGGACUGAGACAAGGCCCAGACGACGACGGGAGGCAGCAGUAGGGAAUCUUCGGCAAGGGGGGGAACCCUGACCGAGAAACGCCGCGUGAGUGAAGAAGGUUUUCGGAUCGUAAAGCUCUGUUGUUAAGGAAGCGGUACUUAACCAGAAAGGGACGGCUAACUACGUGCCAGCAGCCGCGGUAAUUC